rnacentral:rRNA from 1 species
AACGAACGCUGGCGGCAUGCCUAACACAUGCAAGUCGAACGAGACCUUCGGGUCUAGUGGCGCACGGGUGCGUAACGCGUGGGAACCUGCCCUUAGGUUCGGAAUAACUCCCCGAAAGGGGUGCUAAUACCGGAUAAUGUCUUCGGACCAAAGAUUUAUCGCCUUUGGAUGGGCCCGCGUUGGAUUAGCUAGUUGGUAGGGUAAAAGCCUACCAAGGCGACGAUCCAUAGCUGGUCUGAGAGGAUGAUCAGCCACACUGGGACUGAGACACGGCCCAGACUCCUACGGGAGGCAGCAGUGGGGAAUAUUGGACAAUGGGCGAAAGCCUGAUCCAGCAAUGCCGCGUGAGUGAUGAAGGCCUUAGGGUUGUAAAGCUCUUUUACCCGGGAUGAUAAUGACAGAACCGGGAGAAUAAGCUCCGGCUAACUCCGU